rnacentral:tRNA from 1 species
GGAAGAUGCCGCCGAGAGGACGGCAAGCAAUCUUGAAAAUUGUGGUGCGGCAGCGAUGUCGUAAGGGUUCGAUUCCUUCAUCUUCCU